rnacentral:misc_RNA from 1 species
GAAAUGCGAUAAUUAAUGUGAAUUGCAGAAUUCAGUGAAUCAUCGAGUCUUUGAACGCACAUUGCGCCCCCUGGUAUUCCGGGGGGCAUGCCUGUCCGAGCGUCAUUGCUGCCCUCAAGCACGGCUUGUGUGUUGGGCUUCCGUCCCUGGCAACGGGGACGGGCCCAAAAGGCAGUGGCGGCACCAUGUCUGGUCCUCGAGUGUAUGGGGCUUUGUCACCCGCUCCCGUAGGUCCAGCUGGCAGCUAGCCUCGCAACCAAUCAUUUUAACCAGGUUGACCUCGGAUCAGGUAGAGAUACCCGCUGAACUUAAGC